AACGAACGCUGGCGGCAUGCCUAACACAUGCAAGUCGAACGAGACCUUCGGGCCUAGUGGCGCACGGGUGCGUAACGCGUGGGAACCUGCCCUUAGGUUCGGAAUAACUCCCCGAAAGGGGUGUUAAUACCGGAUAAUGUCUUCGGACCAAAGAUUUAUCGCUUUUGGAUGGGCCCGCGUUGGAUUAGCUAGUUGGUAGGGUAAAAGCCUACCAAGGCGACGAUCCAUAGCUGGUCUGAGAGGAUGAUUAGGCACACUGGGACUGAGACACGGCCCAGACUCGUACGGGAGGCAGCAGUGGGGAAUAUUGCAAAAUGGGCGAAAGCCUGAUCCAGCAGUGCCGCGUGAGUGAUGAAUUCCGUAGGGUUGUAAAGCUCUUUUACCCGGCGUGAUAAUGACGGUACCGGGAGAAUAAGCUCCGGCUAACUCCGUG
rnacentral:rRNA from 1 species